rnacentral:rRNA from 1 species
UACAAAGGAGACUAGUGUUAAUCAUCUUUAUUGGGUUUAAAGGGUGCGUAGGCGGUUUUGUAAGUCAGUGGUGAAAUACUCCAGCUUAACUGGAGGGGUGCCAAUGAUACUGCAGAACUUGAGUACAGAUGAGGUAGGCGGAAUUGACGGUGUAGCGGUGAAAUGCAUAGAUAUCGUCAAGAACACCGAUAGCGAAGGCAGCUUACUGGGCUGUAACUGACGCUGAGGCACGAAAGUGUGGGGAUCAAACAGG